AAAUUGAAGAGUUUGAUCAUGGCUCAGAUUGAACGCUGGCGGCAGGCCUAACACAUGCAAGUCGAGCGGUAGCACAGAGAGCUUGCUCUCGGGUGACGAGCGGCGGACGGGUGAGUAAUGUCUGGGAAACUGCCUGAUGGAGGGGGAUAACUACUGGAAACGGUAGCUAAUACCGCAUAAUGUCGCAAGACCAAAGUGGGGGACCUUCGGGCCUCAUGCCAUCAGAUGUGCCCAGAUGGGAUUAGCUAGUAGGUGGGGUAACGGCUCACCUAGGCGACGAUCCCUAGCUGGUCUGAGAGGAUGACCAGCCACACUGGAACUGAGACACGGUCCAGACUCCUACGGGAGGCAGCAGUGGGGAAUAUUGCACAAUGGGCGCAAGCCUGAUGCAGCCAUGCCGCGUGUGUGAAGAAGGCCUUCGGGUUGUAAAGCACUUUCAGCGGGGAGGAAGGCGUUAAGGUUAAUAACCUUGGCGAUUGACGUUACCCGCAGAAGAAGCACCGGCUAACUCCGUGCCAGCAGCCGCGGUAAUACGGAGGGUGCAAGCGUUAAUCGGAAUUACUGGGCGUAAAGCGCACGCAGGCGGUCUGUCAAGUCGGAUGUGAAAUCCCCGGGCUCAACCUGGGAACUGCAUUCGAAACUGGCAGGCUAGAGUCUUGUAGAGGGGGGUAGAAUUCCAGGUGUAGCGGUGAAAUGCGUAGAGAUCUGGAGGAAUACCGGUGGCGAAGGCGGCCCCCUGGACAAAGACUGACGCUCAGGUGCGAAAGCGUGGGGAGCAAACAGGAUUAGAUACCCUGGUAGUCCACGCCGUAAACGAUGUCGAUUUGGAGGUUGUGCCCUUGAGGCGUGGCUUCCGGAGCUAACGCGUUAAAUCGACCGCCUGGGGAGUACGGCCGCAAGGUUAAAACUCAAAUGAAUUGACGGGGGCCCGCACAAGCGGUGGAGCAUGUGGUUUAAUUCGAUGCAACGCGAAGAACCUUACCUGGUCUUGACAUCCACAGAACUUUCCAGAGAUGGAUUGGUGCCUUCGGGAACUGUGAGACAGGUGCUGCAUGGCUGUCGUCAGCUCGUGUUGUGAAAUGUUGGGUUAAGUCCCGCAACGAGCGCAACCCUUAUCCUUUGUUGCCAGCGGUUAGGCCGGGAACUCAAAGGAGACUGCCAGUGAUAAACUGGAGGAAGGUGGGGAUGACGUCAAGUCAUCAUGGCCCUUACGACCGGGCUACACGUGCUACAAUGGCAUAUACAAAGAGAAGCGACCUCGCGAGAGCAAGCGGACCUCAUAAAGUAUGUCGUAGUCCGGAUUGAGUCUGCAACUCGACUCCAUGAAGUCGGAAUCGCUAGUAAUCGUAGAUCAGAAUGCUACGGUGAAUACGUUCCCGGGCCUUGUACACACCGCCCGUCACACCAUGGGAGUGGGUUGCAAAAGAAGUAGGUAGCUUAACCUUCGGGAGGGCGCUUACCACUUUGUGAUUCAUGACUGGGGUGAAGUCGUAACAAGGUAACCGUAGGGGAACCUGCGGUUGGAUCACCUCCUUACCUUAAAGAA
rnacentral:rRNA from 1 species